GGCUCUGUUGCUCAGGGGUUAGAGCACUGGUCUUGUAAACCAGCGGUCAUGAGUUCAAAUCUCAUUAUAGCCU